UUCCCUUUUCCCCUCAGACCUAUUUCUACUGCCCCUAGUGGUGUUUGGAUUUACAACUGCUUGAGCCUGGUAUUUUUCCUCUUCCUUUCUUUAACUUUUUGUUUACUCUCUGGGCUGGAAGGUUCCCAUGGGACUGUUUAGAAUUUGACCUUGGCACGUAGACAGGAGUGGAAUGAGUGGCGCUGGGAGAACAAGAGCGGCCAAAGCUAGAGCAAAACAACUAACUCAAGCAACACUGACUUCCCAAUUCCGCAGAUCAUCAGUUCCCGCAGUCUUGGGAACGCAAGAAGCAGAAAUUGAGGUGGCCUCUUUAGAAGGUAUGGCAUCUGGAGGAGACGACUCAGUACUAGAUAAAAUCUUGCAGAAAUUGGAAAUAUUGGACAAGAAAGCAGAUGUACAAGCGGUUAAGACUGAUCAAAAUACUGCCUGCCUAAAUAAACUAACGGAGCAAGUUACUUUACACUCACAAUCAAUUGGGAAACUUUUUGAGGCUACCUCUGAGAACCGUAAAUUGGCGGAAUUGGCUAGCCAGAAAGUGGAGGAAGUGAAGAAGGAAGUUAAACCACUGCAUAAACAGGUUGGUGAACAUCAGGCCUACCUGUCUAUGGUUGAACUACGGUCCAGGGAAAAUAAUCUUAGGCUGAGAGCAAUUCCAGAACUUGAACAGGGGAAUUUGACAGACUAUUUGGCAAAAGAGUUUUCUAAGUUCUGGAAUUUGGAGGAAAAUAAAGACUUUAAAAUUGUAACUGCCUUUAGACUUGGAAGAAUUUUGAAAAAGGACAGACCCAGAGAUUGUUUGAUCACCUUGAGAUCUAAGGAGGAAAGGGAUAAAAUACUAAGCUUACAUUACAAAAAGUCACUUGAAAUACUGGGCACUAGAGCUGAAAUUUACAGAGACAUUCCUAAACAACUUCUGGACCUCAGAACCGCCUAUACAGAUUUGACAAAGUUGCUCAAAGGAAAUAAACUUCCUUUUAGGUGGGAAUUUCCCCAAGGAUUAUCUUUUACAUUCAGAGGGGAAAAGGUGAAAUUAAAACACCGGAGGAUAAAGACAUGUUUUUUGCAGGAGCACGAAGAAGACCUUCAGAAAGGGACUAUAGGGCCUGGAUCCUGGCCACCCCCGCAGCCGGAGGAAUCUACACCUUCGGGAUCAAUUGACCAGGAGA
rnacentral:lncRNA from 1 species